CAGCAGCCGCGGGAAUACGUAGGGUGCAAGCGUUAAUCGGAAUUACUGGGCGUAAAGCGUGCGCAGGCGGUUAGUUAAGACAGAUGUGAAAUCCCCGGGCUCAACCUGGGAACUGCAUUAGUGACUGCAUCGCUGGAGUGCGGCAGAGGGGGAUGGAAUUCCGCGUGUAGCAGUGAAAUGCGUAGAUAUGCGGAGGAACACCGAUGGCGAAGGCAAUCCCCUGGGCCUGCACUGACGCUCAUGCACGAAAGCGUGGGGAGCAAACAGGAUUAGAUACCCCGUAGUCCCUGUCUCUUAUACA
rnacentral:rRNA from 1 species